AUUGAACGCUGGCGGCAUGCUUUACACAUGCAAGUCGAACGGCAGCGCGGGCUUCGGCCUGGCGGCGAGUGGCGAACGGGUGAGUAAUGCAUCGGAACGUGCCCAGUAGUGGGGGAUAGCCCGGCGAAAGCCGGAUUAAUACCGCAUACGACCUGAGGGUGAAAGCGGGGAACCGAAAGGCCUCGCGCUAUUGGAGCGGCCGAUGUCGGAUUAGCUAGUUGGUGGGGUAAAGGCUUACCAAGGCGACGAUCCGUAGCUGGUCUGAGAGGACGACCAGCCACACUGGGACUGAGACACGGCCCAGACUCCUACGGGAGGCAGCAGUGGGGAAUUUUGGACAAAGGGGGCAACCCUGAUCCAGCCAUGCCGCGUGCGGGAAGAAGGCCUUCGGGUUGUAAACCGCUUUUGUUCGGGAAGAAAUCCUCUGGGCUAAUACCCCGGGGGGAUGACGGUACCGGAAGAAUAAGCACCGGCUAACUACGUG
rnacentral:rRNA from 1 species